rnacentral:misc_RNA from 1 species
GUGAAUCAUCGAAUCUUUGAACGCAAAUUGCACUUUCUGGUAUUCCGGAAAGUAUGCCUGUUUGAGGGUCAGUUAAAUAAAAAUCGGUGUUGUUGCUACCCGUAGUGGUGUUAAUGCAUCGGAAUUGAGUUGUCUUUACCUUUUUUGGUUAAGUGACUUAAAAUUAUGUACGAUUUUGAACGUAUUUAAAUUAUUUAGUAUGUUCAUAAUAUCAAAUAUUAGGUGCAGUCAUUCUCAUGAUUUUCGCGUCUAUAAAUUUUCAUUAUUUGACCUCAAAUCAGGUAAGAGUACCCGCUGAAC